UAACACCCUGUAUACAGCCUCCACAUUGACUAUGUACCGGUACCCCCUGUAUAUAGCCUCCACAUUGACUCUGUACCGUAACACCCUGUAUAUAGCCUCCACAUUGACUCUGUACCGGUACCCCCUGUAUAUAGCCUCCACAUUGACUCUGUACCGGUACCCCCUGUAUAUAGCCUCCACAUUGACUCUGUACCGGUACCCCAUGUAUAUAGCCUCCACAUUGACUCUGUACCGGUACCCCCUGUAUAUAGCCUCCACAUUGACUCUGUACCGGUACCCCAUGUAUAUAGCCUCCACAUUGACUCUGUACCGUAACACCCUGUAUACAGCCUCCACAUUGACUAUGUACCGGUACCCCCUGUAUAUAGC
ensembl:lncRNA